rnacentral:lncRNA from 1 species
AGCUUUGUUUUGUGCAUUAACGUGACUAGUUAGGAUUCCAUAGAUAUUUCUCUCACAGCUACAGACUCUUUUCUUGCUUUAUUGCUGUUGGGGGAGGAGAAAAGACAUGCCGGCGAUUCUCCUCGUGAUAAGGUGAGUAAACCUUGUGUCCGAGUCAGUGGGGAGAAUCAGGGAAGGUCUUGAUUUCGUUCAUAACAAGUAUAGUCGCAAGGAUUAUUUAUUAUAUGUUGUGGUGCAUACUGAUAUUAUUCUGAUUUUGGCAGCGUUUUGUUGGGCUUAGAGAGGAUGCAAACUGAUAUGCCAGGAGACUGUAUACCUAAUAUUUCAUGUAACU